rnacentral:rRNA from 1 species
CCUACGGGUGGCAGCAGUGAGGAAUAUUGGUCAAUGGACGAGAGUCUGAACCAGCGAAGUAGCGUGAAGGAUGACUGCCCUCUGGGUUGUAAACUUCUUUUAUAAAGAAAUAAAACGAGGCACGUGUGCCUUUUUGCAUGUACUUUAUGAAUAAGGAUCGGCUAACGCCGUGCCAGCAGCCGCGGUAAUACGGAGGAUCCGAGCGUUAUCCGGAUUUAUUGGGUUUAAAGGGAGCGUAGAUGGGUUGUUAAGUCAGUUGUGAAAGUUUGCGGCGCAACCGUAAAAUUGCAAUUGAUACUGGCAGGCGUGAGUACAGGUGAGGUAAGCGGAAUUCGUGGUGUAGCGGUGAAAUGCUUAGAUAUCACGAAGAACCCCGAUUGCGAAGGCAGCUUACUAAACUGUGACUGACAUUGAGGCUCGAAAGUGUGGGGAUCAAACAGGAUUAGAUACCCGAGUAGUC